rnacentral:rRNA from 1 species
UACGUAGGGGGCUAGCGUUGUCCGGAUUUAUUGGGCGUAAAGAGCGUGUAGGCGGCCUGGUAGGUCUGCUGUGAAAACUCGAGGCUCAACCUCGAGAUGUCGGCGGAAACCAUCUGGCUAGAGUCCGGAAGAGGAGAGUGGAAUUCCUGGUGUAGCGGUGAAAUGCGCAGAUAUCAGGAAGAACACCGGUGGCGAAGGCGGUUCUCUGGGCAUUACCUGACGCUGAGGAGCGAAAGUGUGGGGAGCGAACAGG